rnacentral:rRNA from 1 species
UACGGAGGGUGCAAGCGUUGUUCGGAAUUAUUGGGCGUAAAGCGCGCGCAGGCGGCCUGGAAAGUCUAUGGGUGAAAUGCCGGGGCUCAACCCCGUGCAUGCCCAGGAUACUGCCAGGCUGGAGACACGUAGAGGCAAGCGGAAUUCCGGGUGUAGCGGUGGAAUGCGUAGAGAUCCGGAAGAACACCGGAGGCGAAGGCGGCUUGCUGGG